rnacentral:lncRNA from 1 species
AUAUCUUGUGCUUGUACAGGCAUCCUUUCUAUAAUAUGUGAUGUUUGGUCUUAAGCCUGCAUAUUACACAUGGCAGUAUAGUUAAAAGUGAUCCAGUGCUAUACAGUAUGUGCUUGCUGUCAAUACUCUGGGGAAAUAAUAGUGAACAGACAUGUAUUUCAAAUGUGGAUGAAGGAUGACAUGUAGGCAGCUGUCCAUUACAAAUGGACACAUGGCACAAUAUGUUACCAUACUCCUUGAUGACAACCCAAGACUCCAUACAGCAGCAGCAAUAGCAAAUCAUAUUAUCAAGUUCAGAUGGGAAUGCCUUGGUCAUUCCACUAAAAUCCUAACUUCUUCCACCUUUGAAGAUGAUGAUGGGAGGGCAGCAUUUCAUCAGCAAUGAAUAUGUAAAAGCUGUUUGAACUUUUGUCCAUAUGUAGAGCAUGGACUUUUAUGAGAAGGGCUUCUACUUUGUUAAGCG